AUUGAACGAUGGCGGCAGGCCUAACACAUGCGAGUCGAACGGUAACAGGAAGAAGCUUGCUUCUUUGCUGACGAGUGGCGGACGGGUGAGUAAUGUCUGGGAAACUGCCUGAUGGAGGGGGAUAACUACUGGAAACGGUAGCUAAUACCGCAUAACGUCGCAAGACCAAAGAGGGGAACCUUCGGGCCUCUUGCCAUCGGAUGUGCCCAGAUGGGAUUAGCUAGUUGGUGGGGUAACGGCUCACCAAGGCGACGAUCCCUAGCUGGUCUGAGAGGAUGACCAGCCACACUGGAACUGAGACACGGUCCAGACGCCUACGGGAGGCAGCAGUGGGGAAUAUUGCACAAUGGGCGCACGCCUGAUGCAGCCAUGCCGCGUGUAUGAAGAAGGCCUUCGGGUUGUAAAGUACUUUCAGCGGGGAGGAAGGUGUUGAGGUUAAUAACCUCAGCAAUUGACGUUACCCGCAGAAGAAGCACCGGCUAACUCCGUGCCAGCAGCCGCGAUAA
rnacentral:rRNA from 1 species